ensembl:lncRNA
GUUUAAGCGCGAGCUGCUCGAGUUUCUGCACACGUCCACGCAUGGGGACCAACGACAGACUCGAUCGUAGCAGUCCUCGGAGUAGUAGCACUGGAUACUUGGCAGGAAUCUGGAGAACAAGUUGUGCACUUGAGCGUCAGAUCACUCGAGCCAAAAGCCAACGGCUGUUUGUAAAUAAUUGACAUCAGUACUUUACGUGACAUAGAUGCGAGUUAACGCGAUUCUCGGGAAUAGUUCGUGGUUUGAACAAAUGCAUUGCUGCAAAGACCUCUGCCUUUACCAGUUUUUGACAUUUACUUGUGGAUUAGAUACUAUGGAGAUAUGGAUCACCUCAAGUUUGGAAAAGGAGACCUUGGAAAUCAGUGAUAAAACACGGAAAUGAACUGACCUCAGAUCAGGAGUCGGAAGACGAGUGGAGAGUGGGAGUAGCGAUAGUGGUGGAGGAGUGAACCCGGAGCAGGU